rnacentral:lncRNA from 1 species
CCGGUAUCAGCAAACAGGCCUCGGCCUGGGCUCUAUCUUUAUGCCCUAAGUCCAUCUUUGGCGGAGAAUUUGGCAUUUUCUUAUAGAAAGUAUCGGCGGAAUAGAAGUAGUCUUUCUUCCCUUUGACUUCCGAGCUGGACGUGUGUUCAAUCCUUUCUGUUGAAUAAAGAAAGCGUGGAUUUGGGGCUUCAACUACAAAGACUAGCUAUACCUCCAAGUAAUCCUUUCAGUUGAAUAAAGAAAGCGUGGAUUUGGGGCUUCAACUACAAAGACUAGCUAUACCUGCAAGACUUGAUAUAUUGUCAAUUACUAAGAUGUGCAUCUAUCAUCUAAGAAGAAAAAAGGAAAAUCAUCUGGGAGUUUUAAGAUGGCGCAAGCUGAAACAGGGGUAGAUAACCAGGAAUCUGCCCCUAGUAAAUCU